rnacentral:lncRNA from 1 species
UAUUUGAGGACACCAAGAGGUGACCAUCAGCAAGCCCAGGAGAGAGGCCUCAGAAGAAACCAGACCUGCUGAUUCCUUGAUCUUGAACUUCUAGCCUCCGGAACUAUCCAACUUGAAUGCUUCCUGAUUAAAUAUAUACAGGAGUGAUUUCAGAGGAAUUUAAGUUUUGGAUCAUUCUUUUGAGAAAGAAAGAAAAGUACCCUUUUAAAAGAGGUGGCUCUUGAACAACACAGGUUUGAACUGCAUCAUUCCACUUAUACACAGACUUUCUUCUGCCACUGCCACUCCUGAGACAACAUGACCAAUCUCUCCCCUUCCUCCUCCUCAGCGUACUUUCAACAUAAAGACGACGAGGAUAAAGGCAUUUAUGAUGAACUACUUCCACAUAAUGAAUAAUUGAACAAAGGAGAGAAUUGUGAGAGUGAGAAAAAGUGAGACAAAGAAGAAAAACUAUAAAUCAGCAAAAUACAGUGCCAAGAGCUCUGGACCACAAAUCAGAAGACCUGAGCCCUAAUUCCUUUCCAGUCAUUGGAUUUGUUCGUCGCUUGCCAAAAUAGCAGCGAACUCUCUGUCAAACUGCAACUCAUUUUAUCGGAGCAAAAACUGAACAAAGAACUGCUAUCAUUUCUGAGGUCAGAGGCAGUGCAGCUUGUGUUACAACUCAAAAGAGUAAUACUCUGAAAAAAGAAAAAAAAAGAUGGCGCUGAAAAUAAACAUGUUCAGCAGCCAUUGUGAUUCAACUUACCCAGAUGUGCUUUUCAUGAGAUGGAGAAGGACGGAUGGAAAAGAAAAGCACACAAAUGUUAAUGGAUACAGUUCAAUCCAAAGAAAACCAUGGAAUAAAACAAGAGCAUUAUUUAAGAUGUGAGAAAGCU